CUCUACCUCGUGGAUGGUAUGCAGAAUGUUCUUUAAAUAGACAAGUCAUUUUACAGGAAUGACACACUCUCACAUGUUGUUACAGGUGCUACAUCUGAAUCGAAAUCGGCGACACUCUUUACUUUGCGAAUCGAUUAAGGACCCCUGUACUAUCUUUGUAAACCACUUUUACUCCAGAGGGACCAAAAGUAACUCUUAUACUUUUCACUUUCGGUUAUGACGUUACAUUAACGGAUAGUUGACACUACACCAGGCUUUAAAGGACGGAUCAGUCUACGAAUAGCAACGAUUAUCAGGGAUAAUCCUGGAGGAGGCCAUUGACCCCUCAAAACUGAAAUCGACCCCUCCGUCUUCCAAUGCUCUUUUGAUUUUACAUAGAAGCCUGAGUUAAGAGCUGAUAUCGAUAGAUGGAAGUGACGUCACGUUCGACGACCAUGGCGUCAUCUAAAGCUUACCGUACGAUUCUGACAAUAUGCAGUCUAUCCGACUUUCUCCGCCAACACCAAUUAACACAACGGCAAGCACACACGUACAGGAAGGAACGACAAAACAUAUAAAACGGCAAGGAGUGCAUUAGGAAACAACAUCGUCAAAGAAUGCAUAGACAACGACGUGCAAGCGGCCAGUACUAUUACAAACUACCCUUUCAAACAGUACGACAACACUACUUAUUGGCCAUGUUGAGCGAGGAAAACCUACACUAUUUUUUAUUUGAAAAAAGACAUUCGUGUUUUUUUAACACCUUAGCUUAUUUAAUCAGCACAUUGUAAAUA